rnacentral:lncRNA from 1 species
AGUUCAAAAAAAAGUAAAAAUUAGACCAAUUUUAUAUUUUUAUGAAAAUUUGAUUGUUUCCGAAAAUAAAAAAAAUAGCGCUUGAAUAGAUAAAAUAGAAUAAGAAGAAUAGUAGAUAAUUAUAAAUAAAAAUAAUAAUAUUACUCCUCUCAUUAUAUUUAAAUUUAAAUUUUUAAUUUUUAUAUUUAUAUUUUUAAAUUUAAAAUUUUAACUUUUAAAUUUUAAAAGUCGAAGUAAAUUAAAAUUUAAGAUCAAAUUUAAAUUUAAAUAUCAAUAUAAAUUAAUUUAAAAUUUAAAAUAUCAAUUAAAAUUAUAUUUUAAAUUAAAUUUAUAUUUAAAAUUAUAAACUUAUUUUAAGAUUAUAAAUAUAUAAAUUUAAAAUUUAAGUUUUAAUUUAAAACUAAUCCUCUCUCUAUAUAUAUAUGGAACAAGCUUAGAAACAAGGUGCUUCGAGCUUGUUCCACCUUGGAGUGGAAAUAACAGUUCCCACUUUUUACGGGUUAUUCCAAAUAAUCCAUUAAAGAAUGAGAAUAACGUUAAGGGUGGAAACUGUUUAACCCAUCUUUUCUUUUUUUUUCUUUUUUUUUCAUACUACACUAGAGGGGGAAUAAGGCUUUAUUCCCCUUCUUAUACCCUACCAAACCACCUGGGUUUUACAAAAUAAUCCAUUAAAGAAUGAGAAUAAUCCGUUAAGGGGUGGAAACUGUUUAACCCAUCUUUUCUUUUUUUUUCUUUUUUUUUCAUACUAGACUAGAGGGGGAAUAAGGCUUUAUUCCCCUUCUUAUACCCUAACCAACCACCACCUAAAGUUUAACAUAAGCGUACAUAUGUAAAGCAAGAUAGGUAUAUAUAAUUAGUCUUUCUUUUUUUCCCGGUUCAUGCAAUGACCAAGCUCGCAUAAUUAAACACGUAUAACAACGUGACAAAAGAGUAUAGUGCCUCGUAUACAUAUAAAGGUUAGCUAAAAAGCUACCAAUUAAUUAAGAGUCCUCGUGUAGAAGAAACAUGUGUGCAUGGGGAAAAAGUGUCACCAAAGCGGUCGUUUUCUUUUGUAAUGUGUUGGGGAUGUAAAAAAGAGAACCCUUAUUUCGGGCGGUGGCUUGGUUAUUAUGUGUCUCCAUGAGAGAGCACACUUUAUGGUGAGAGAGAGAGAGCGAGAGAGAGAGAGUAGGAUUAAAAAAGGUUUUAAAAAAAGUACUUAAUUAGUAUGGUCAUGGUCAAUGGGAAAAGAGUACUUUAGUUAUUUUUUGCAAUAAACAAUAAAGACCUUGAAGCCUCCAUUAUUAACACUAGGUAAAACCUGUAAAUAUAAAUAUAUAUAUAUAUAUAUAUAUAAAAAGUCGGAUUUGGAUAGAACUCUUUUUGUCUUAAUAUGUUUGCUUCAGAUUUUAAUCUACACUAACCAAAAUUCAAGUCCAAAUUCAAAUCUUAACAAUACUCUAGUUUAAUCAAAAUCAGUAAAAAAAAAAAGUAAAAAUUCAAACAGUGCCCACAGAAGAUCUAAAUACAUUGAACAAAACUUGAAUACUUAAAUUAGUAAUGUAGCAUAUAAUUAUAAGUAUUUUUUAAAAAAAAAAAAUACCCAUCAGGGUAAAUAUGUGUUGUACAGGUUUCAGCAACCAUACAUGCAAACCUACAAAACUAGCUUCCUCGGGGAACGUUCCUCACACCAUCCCAAACCUUUCCUUUUCUUUUCUUUUCUUUUCUUUUCUUUUUUUUUAGUGGCACAAAAAAACACCACCAAAUCUUAUUUAAAAAAGCAGAGGAGGAGUCAGCAGCUGUUGGAAACUUGGAAAAAAGAAUAAAGAAAAAAAAAUAAGAAAGAAAAAAAAGGCUCGUCAUGGGACGCACGAAUCACGAGACGUGACCUUCCCGGGUUUCGACAAAACGGGCCGACGAAUCCCGUGGGUGGGUGCUGCGGUGGUGUCGACGUUGCUCCCACGUGUGAUUCCGCCCAUCCCGGGUCCACCACCCCACAAACACACAAAAAAAAAGAAAAAGAAAAAAAAAAGGUGAAGAAGAAGCCCAGCACGUGCGCGGGCACGCCAGCUGGCACGUGGGCGUAGAAACAAUGAGACGUAAAUUAUUGAAUGGACCGAGGUGUAUGUAACUUUUUUGCUUCUGAAUCGUAGAACUCGCUUUUAACUUUAACAGUAUAAUAAUACAUAAUAUAAUAUUAAAUUUAUAUAUAUAUAUAUAUAUAAAUUUGGCAGAUACUUUUCGUUAAAGUGCGCAAGUGCAACCAAUCAAAGCAGUGUAAAUAUGAAUUUUGUAGAGUAGACGGAAGGUCUACAAAGGAAGGAAUUCUAUACUGUCACACUUGCACCACGUCAUUAAUAACAAAUCAAUCAUAUUUUUUAUUUUCAAAUAAAAAUAUAAUAAAAAUAUUUUUUUAUAAUCAUGAUAGAACAUAUACUUCUAAAAAAAAUAUUUAAUUAAUUUCGUACGCCAUAUCACUAAUAUACCGGUUGCAUUCUAGAAUUUUUCCUACAGAGGGCGGUGCAUGUAAUAACUCCUCAACUCAGAGAGCUUUACGAAGGUGGGGCCCGUCCUACGUGGCUGUCCCGCCACGUGGGGCCAAUAGGAUCACGGUCUCUCGAGGUCCCAACCGACCAACCGCGCUCUCCUAUUUAUACAUCCCCCAACACAACCUCCCUUCCCCAUCCCUACACAACAACUUCUCUUCCCAGUACAAGGAAAAGUACCAACAACAACAACAACAACAACAACACACACACAAAAUAGCCCUACAACUUUUAAGGUAGAAUUAGAAGCUUUGAAGAGAAGAGAAAUGACGAAGCAGCAGGGCAAUUCCGCCCCUCAUUACUCAUAUCCACCGCCUCGUCAGAGUAGUGGCACCGCCGCCGACUAUGCAAACUACAAGAAGAUUUUGGGCCAGCUCGAGCUCGGCUUGGCUUGUAACGGCCGAGUCAAUUCUUGGCUCGAGUCGAUGAAGGCGUCAUCGCCGACGCAAAUCAGGCCCUUCUUAGCUUCGUCUUUCGAUCCCGACUACAACGAUUGGAUCGUGAGCAUUCAGUACAACUUAAUUGUGUGAACUUGCAAGAAUUGUUCUGCGAUAUUGUGAAUUUAGUUUUAAUUGGUGAUUGAAUUUUGAAAAAUGUACGUGAUCAGGAGAAGCACCCUUCGGCGCUGAGCAGGUUCGAGGAGAUCACGGCGAUGUCGAGGGGGAAGAAGAUCGUGAUGUUUCUCGACUACGACGGAACGCUUUCGCCCAUCGUCGACGACCCGGACUGCGCUUUCAUGUCGGAUGCAGUAAUUUCACCAUCUCAUGUCCCCUAAUUAUUGUUCAUUGUAGUUGAUUUUCCCUUCUCUCUCUUUCUCUCGUCAAUCCCUUUAAUCUAUAUCUAAAUUCAGAUUUUUUUUCCUUUUUUUUCUUUUGGGUUGAAAUUUAGAUGAGAGAGGCAGUGAGAGAUGUAGCAAAGCACUUCACAACUGCUAUUGUUAGUGGGAGGUGCAGAGACAAGGUGCAUUCCUUAAUGAUCAAAACCUUUUAGAUUAAGCCGAAUUUUAGCGCAAUUUGAUAUUACUGUUUUAUCUCAAUUUCAAAGUUAUAUAUAUAUAUAUAGGUGGGGAACUUUAUAUUUUCCCUUUCUAUAUAUUGCUUCUCCUGUCAAUUUUAAGUGAGGUAGCUUUUGUUUCCAUUAAUUAACUCUUUUGGUUGGUUGUUGUAACUGUGUCCUGUGGGUAGGUGUAUAGCUUCGUACAACUGGGAGAAUUGUACUACGCUGGUAGCCACGGGAUGGACAUCGGAGGGCCCACAGGAGGGCCCAUGCACACCAACUCUAAUGUGGGCUUUUCCUCUCUGUUUUUUUUUUUUUUUUUUUUGUUUUGGCACUUUAGUCCUUCAAUAUAUAUAUAUACUAUGGCAAAAUAAAGAAAAAGUCAUUUUCAUUAGUUACUUAGAACUUCUUACUCAAAACAAAUACUCACUAACUGAUGUAUUUUUCUUACUCUAAAUAAAUGAUUCAGGCAAAAGCAGUUCUCUUCCAACCUGCAAGUGAAUUUUUGCCCAUGAUGGAUGAGGUGAGAUCUUAUUCUACUAGAAGAGCUUUGAGCAAGUCUAUUGAUCUUAGAUUAUUUUUUAUUUUUUCUUUUUUAAUUUCCUAGGUAAAUUGCUCAAUUAGUGCUCGAAUUAUACUCUUUAAGUUUCACUUUAGCCUCUAAUCGUUUGAAACGAACUAGUAGUAUAUCCUGAACUUGACACAAGGACCCCAUCACUUGGUUCAAUUCUCUUUGUCCCUAAACCUGUGGCAGAGUUUCACUUUAGUCACCAAAUUUUACUGAUAUAUGCAGCUGCUAUAUAUCGCAUGUCAAUUUAUUAUCGCAGCCCACAACCGCUUUAGAGAGAUAUUAGCAAAGCCAUGCAUUGUGUCAUCUACCAUAAUGUGCUAUAACGUUUUUUGCUCUCUUUUUUCAAGGUUUAUGAAGCACUGUCAGAGAAAAUUGAAUCAAUCCCAGGUGCCAAUGUGGAGAACAAUAAGUUCUGCAUAUCGGUUCACUUCCGUCGUGUCGAGGAAAAGGUAAAGAUCUAACGACGCAAAUUAACAUUCUUCAUUGCCACAAAAGGAAGUUCCUCUAGAAACUUAACUAAUUUUUCUGCGCUCGCUCUGUACCAGAAAUGGCAUGUCCUAAUUGAGCAUGUUAGAUCAGUUGUCGGGGAAUAUCCGAAACUCCGGAUUACGCAAGGAAGGAAGGUACAACAUUUGCGCAGAGUUUUACUUAUCGUAGAAUUAUGAAAAAUCUAAACGACGUAACAUAUUUGCGAGUGAAUCAUUGCGCUGUGCAUGAUUUGUAGGUGUUGGAGAUUCGCCCACCUAUUAAAUGGGACAAGGGAAAGGCCCUGGAAUUUUUGUUAGAAUCACUUGGUAAGCCUAAAACCUCAUUACAUCACUUUUUUGUUGUUGACCACAAUAGUAUUGUAUCAUGUUAAUAGGAAAGCUAAAGUAUCUCUUCAUUAUAAUUCUCUCUCCCUAGGAUUUGGGGACUCUAGUGAUGUAUUUCCAGUAUAUAUUGGAGACGAUCGAACUGAUGAAGACGCUUUCAAGGUUUGUUAUCUCUUCAUAGAAUGCUUUGAUAUAGAUAUAUAUCACUUGUGAAAUCGAUAUAGUAAUCUAUGUUAAGCUUAUAUGCUUGCUUAACUAUGUUUCUUAGGUUUUGCUUGAGAGAGGACAGGGUGUGGGAAUCUUAGUUUCCAAAUCUCCGAAGGACACCUGCGCCUCUUAUUCUCUCCAAGAGCCUUCUGAGGUCAACUACCUUUUACAUCCAUUUCGCUCUACUCCGUAGUAAUUGUUUGAAUUAGCACCUGUUGAUCUCAUUCUAUGGAAUGUAUAAAUUUUGCAGGUCAUGGAUUUUUUGCAUGGCCUAAUAGAGUGGAAGUGCCACUCACUCAAUGAAAAUGAAGAGGUGUAAAUGAGACUACAUGUAGCCGACGAUCGACAUGAGAGGCCUGGAUGAUAGUCUAAGUGACAUGAUAAUUGAAUACCUUGUACCUUGCUUAGGAGAAAGAAAUAAGAUUAGAAAGAUAGGUUGUUUUCUUUUAUACAACGCUUUUUUUGCUGCUGCUUUUUUUUCGCAACCUUUAUGCACCUGAGCCUGAUAAGGGUUCAUCUUUUUGUAUCCUUCUUGGUAGGUCUGUAACUAUUUUUAUGCUCACACAAAGCGAUAGGUUUCUAACACCUGUACAAGAAAUUCAAGAAUUAAUUCCUCUCCUGUGCUGUGUACAAUUACACAUGGUUUUAAUGUCAACAACUCUAAUAAGAUCACUGAGAAACAAAUAAUUCUUGACUACUGGGAAACAAUUCAUCCUCUGUUUAUUUGACUUUGCUGAUCAACAGCAUUUUUAUCAGGCUCUUAUGAAUAUGAACUUGUAUAUGAUCAAGAGCAUCUUUUGUACAUAAUUGAACUAUAAACACAUAUCGAACAAUAAUCAACACCAUGCUCCUGUGUAAAGUCAAUGCUCUAUAUUAAUUAACUUCCUGACAGAUAAAAGAGAUGGUAACUGGAGCUGGGGUUUAACCUUACAUGCUAUUCACAACGUUCUUUCGAUUACAGAUUCAAAAACUUCAAAUUAGAACUUAAAACUUCUAAGUCUUGAAAUUUGAUUUCUAAUUUCUGUGACAGCAAAUAACUUUAGACUUGUUUCGCUCGCCAAACAUUCUGCUACGCACUGCUGCUACUGAAAGCAAAAGCAAUCGCUGGACCAGAAUAAGCCAUUAAUUAUUCUGUUCCUAGAAACGGAACGGAGAAAUCAAUGGGCCGGGUUGGCCGAGCGGAGCCACACUGGCCCAAUUUCCGCAUUUGAUAUGUCAGAACCUGGCCCAGCUCAAUGACUUAGCUGACCUGAACAAGGCCCGUUUGGACCCGUAAAAAAAGAGUAACACAAUGUUGAUCAUAGGCAAUGCACAAAUUCUUCAAAAAGAUAGAGAUUCUGAACAAAUAAAUCAAUCAAUCGAGUGGUAACACUGCAUCAUUGGGAAAAAAAUCAUAGAGUUGUUCAAGGAUGCAUGGACCUCUCCUUAAUUUGGAUUUGCUGAAGAUUAAUUAUUACCAGAAAUUAAAAACAGCUCACCUCUAUCUAUCUUACAGUAUUGACAAAGCAAUACAAAUAGUUCUUAAAAUAUAUUCGUACAACCUUGUCUUAAAAAAUCAACUUAAUUAACAUCCACAACCAAAUAGAUCAAAAGACCCAAGAUAAAAAAAGAAAAAGCAUAAAAUGAGAAAAAGGUUUUUUUUUUUGGUUUGGUUCCAUAAUAAGUAAUUAACCAAUUAUAAUUUCUCACGUACGGAAAUUGGUCUUGCACGCUUGCGAGGCUAUUCUCACGUCCUUCACCAAUCCAUGCACCUUCACGUCGCACGUGACUCCCACGCUCAUCCCCCCUAUCUCAAUCCCGCUAAUUUUGGCCCUGACUUUGAAUUCGACCGUUAACGUGAGAGACACCACCUCUUUGGACCCCUUCAAUCCACGCUCAAUCUCCUUCGGUGGCGCCGCAUGUGAGCCCGAUAGCACGAGCCUGAACCGUGUCGUGUUCUGCGCCCCCUGUUGGAAUCCCGGUGUCGUCCCGCCAGCUACGUUCACCCCCCGGUGAGAGAGAGUGGCCUUACCGCCUCCCUCGUACACGAUCCCCAUCCUCGCGCUUGGGUUUGCAGCGUGCAUGGCCACGUCGUACGCCGGCUUCUUCGGGUUCUCGACGAAGACCCGGUCCACAGUGAAUUUUGGGGCACCGGGGUGAACCACGGCAAAGAACGCAAUGGCGGAGAUGGCGAAUGUGACCGCAAGGACGAGCGCAGCGAUGAGGAGCCACUUGAGGAAGGAGAAGCAGGGGCAGCGGCGGCGCCUGCGGCUGCUGAGCUGCUUGCGGUAGUGCUCAACGAGGUAGGCGUUCUCCGGCGGGGGGACGCGGUAGAUUUGGUCCUUGGGCACUUGGACAAUGUAGGUCUCGGUGGCGGCGGCGGCGGCAGCAAUGGCAGGGUUCGGGUACGAAUUCGGGUUCGGAUUCGGGUCGGCUUUGGGAUCCUGUUGGACGAUGGUGGUGAAGGAGACGGUGCGAGAGGAUGGGGAGAGGAGGGAGGAGGAGUGGGGCCCGGGCGGAGGAGAGGCCGGUGGGACCCGCUCCGCCAUGGCGGAAGCAGGAGAGAGGAGGAGGGAAGGGGGAUGAGAGAGAAAGGAGGAGGAGAGAGAGGUGGUGGAGUUUGCAUGAGGGGAGACACGUCCGGGGUUGGAGGAGCGAGAGGGAGAGAGAGAGAUGCAACCACACACGCGCACACGGAGUACACAGGUUGAAUUGCAUUGGCAUUGGCUAUUUUUUGAUAGGAAUCUGUUUGACUUGGUCAAGUUGCUGACCCUCGUCCACCGUGGACCGGUCUCACCAUGGACUCAUCCUCAAAAACACAACUUUAAAUAUUUUUAAAUUAUAUUUAAAAAUGUUGGACUACGGCCGUGUCUUCAUGCUAAAAAGUAGGUAAAUUGGACACUAAUUCUCAGAGAUAGAACUUCCUGAGUACGAAAUUUUAAACGAGUUUAUUCUAGUGCUAAAGAAAUUCGAAGCUUCGACAACAAAAAUUGCUGGAUUUUUUUUUUUGCGAUAAAGAUAGCACGGUAUUUACUUCAUUUAUUCAGUAAAUGAAUUUAACCAUAGCAAUUGAGACAUCGGAGCCUCGAAAAAGUUAAAGAUGACAGGAGAAAAAAGAAAAAAAAAAGAAGAAAAAAAGACGGUGAGAUUACAAUCGAAAAUUAAAUCCGUCACUUGUUCAGCAAAAUUCGAGUCAUUUCUUUCUCACAAAGUGUACUUGUCUAACGGCCGCUAAGGGACCAAAAAAUUGUUUUUCAAAAAUCACAUUGUUUCUUUUCCGUCGAAUCGUCCACCAACAAGCAGCAGCUAAUGCCAGAUUAUGGAUUGUUGGAUUUUGAUAGUAACUUUGCAAACAUCUUAUAAAUCGAACAAUGUUAUGGAUAGGCAUGACAAUAGCUUGAGCAUUCCAGCUACAAUGUUAGUGAAGAUAAAUAACUCAAAAAUGGUAAAUAUAUUUGUUCCAGUGAUGGGUAAGGGUUGGACCGGGCCGAUGCUGGGCUUGUUACCUGGUCCGAUCCAAAUUAGGAGCCCGAAUGGGCUCGACCCAGUUGGCUUUGUAAGCAAUUAUAAAGGUGAAAUGAGUGAUGACAAUGACCGAUCCUACAUUUUCUGUAGCCUACAUUUUCUGUGGGGAAAAAAGAAGAAAAAAAAAGAGAGUGCUUCGCAUAUUCCGCUGCAAUUUAGGUUGUUGUUCGUGAAUCAGCUCAUGUUUAGUUUGAAAUGAGCUCGAGAUUGAAUUGCUUGUUUAGUAAAUGAGCCAAACACGAGCUGGGAUCAAAUCGCUCAUAUUCGGCUCGAUAACAUCUUGAAUACAUAUAUUUUAGAUUUAUAUAUAAAUAAAUAAUUAUAUAUAUAAUAUAAAUUUUUAUUAUUUGAUUUUUAGUCCAAUCUAAAUGUAAUGUCCAACUAAAUUAUAAGAUAGUUCAUUUACAUAUAAAAUUUCAACAUUAGAUCAAAAUAUAAUAGGAAGAUUUUAUAAAUUUAUUUCAUAUAUAUAUACUAAUACUUUUAAAUUCUUUUUCAUAAGCCGGCCGCUCGUUAAUAAACGAGCCAAAUUUUUUGGCUCAAUAUUUUAACGAGACAGCUUGUGUUCGGAUCGUUUAUGAAACGAGCCGAGCAUGAGCUAGCUGACUCCAGCUCGCUUGUACAUGUUUGAAUCGUUGACAACCCUAAUUGGAUUAGGGGCUUGUAAUGCGUAUAAACGUUUAUGCCGAUUCGACAAGAUGAUAAAACUAUUCUCUUAUUUUAAUCUAUUUUUAUAUUUUUAAUUAUUAUUUAUUUAUUAUGAAGGUUGAAGUAACUCGCAGUAAAAGAGAAUUUCAUCAAGAAAUCAAUAAAUAAAAUGCCGUAGACAGAAGAGAACUCAGAGCAUGACAUGGUAAACAAAUGGGAGCUCACUUUUACGUACGUGACGAAUAAAAUGUACGCAUGAUUCUUGGUUUUCCGCAUAAUUCACUAGUAAAUAAAAGUGAAGUGACCACUGGUUGCAAAUACAUGAUUCACAGUCUACGGUCAAAUUUUAUUAGGACAUGGUCUGUAGUCAAACCGGCCCGCAUAAAAAAUUUUAGCAAUCUAUAUAUUGUAUAUAUUUUUCUAAAAUUUCGGAGUUGAACUUGUAAUUUCAAAAAAAGUAAACAGCAUUAGUAUUUAUUCAAUAUGAAAAUUAUGAGUUCAUUCAAAUUCUCACUCGUAAUUAUAUGAAAAUUAGUCUUUCAACUUGAGUAGAAUAGGUGAUAAAAUUAAAUUUAUAAAACUCACAAAUUUUUCACUCUCAUUUUCAAACCAACUCUUAAAUUUGAUGCAAAUUCAAAUAAAGUGCACACAAACAAACUAAAGAUAAAAAUAUUGGAUUAUUCACUUUAUUUAUUUUGGAGUUUAAAAACUCGCCUAUUUUUAAUGCUAGCGACUAAUUAUUAUUUUGAAAUAAUAAAUGAUUAAAAUUAAGAGUUUAAAUUACUAGUUUAUUAAAAUGUCCUUUACUUGAGCUAGACUCAUAUGAGAGCCAAAUAGACUAGACACACACACACACACGCACACACGCACACACGCACACGCACAAAAAAAAAAAAAAAAAAAAAAAAAAAAAAAAAAACCCAAACAGGUACCCAAGCAUCAGCAUUACGUCGGCUGCCACUAGGAAACCCAUCUACGUGGACCACUGCUAGCAUUCCACGUACAUGCAUCAUGUGGGCCCACGUGGGGAAACCAUCCCAUGGACCUGGUCCACUACGUCACUCAUCGACUAGCGAUUUACGUACCUUUCAUGCUUUCUAUACUUUUGAUUCUCAUAAACAAAUAAUCCAAUCCCAAAAUUAAAAUUAUAUUUAAAAUGAAUGCUUAGUUUUGCACAUCCCUUCGCCUAGAAAUUAUUCACACACGUGCUUUUAAUGUAGACUAUUUAAACAGCACUUUCGUUCCCUUUGAUUAUCACCAUCUAAUAAAUUUUAAUUAUUUUGGCCUUUACAAAUUAUUAUUAUUAUUAUUAUUAUGGGAGGGAGAAAAAUUGGAUGGAUAAAGUCCAUGCGUGGACCAGGUCCUGGGAAAAUAAUUUUUGAAUAGUGAAGUUUCAAAUUCAAGGUGCGUUCACGUUGGAUUAAUGGCGACAAAAGCUACCCUAUUGACUAGUCAAACCUGGGAAUAGUUAACAUGAUGGGUACGUAAAUGGACCACAGUUUAGAGGAGAGUUAGGUAACCUCUUGAUUGGGAGAUGAAUGAAUGAAUGGUCCAAUCAAAUGAACCCAACGCCAUUUUUUUUGGUACAAUAUAAUAGGAGGACGAGUGAGAAGGUACCGAGCAAAUCAUUGCUUGGAACUGGUCCACCAGUACCACCACGCAUCCCGUGAACUUCACAAGUUAAUUGUUUAUAUAUAUAUAUAUAUAUAUAUAUAUAUAUAUAUAGAGAGAGAGAGAGAGAGAGAGAGAGAGAGAGCAUGGUUGCUGUGCUCUCAGGAGCACGGAGGCUUCCAUGCUCCUGAGCCGUUUUCGAUGAUGAAAUUUUCGAAUCGACAAUCGGCUCCGUUAGACUUGAUCUGGUUCAUUUGAAGUUUCUAAAAAAUAAUUUUUGUAAUUUUUUGAUAUCAUUCACCUAGUGAUCGAAAUGAUUCAAAAUCCAUAAUUUUUAAUGGUUGAUAUCUGCCGUUUUCAAGUUUAACGAUGUAGAAGUAUUCAAAUCAGAUAAAAUUUUAAUACAAAAUUUUUUAUACUAUCUAUAACAAGAUCAAUAUUUCUAAUUUAAAAUUUUAGUGCUAUAUCACCACUUUUUAUAGAAUUUUUAUUUUCAACCGUUAAAAAUUAUUGAUUUUGAAUCAUUUCGAUUGUUAGGUAAAUAAUAUUGAAAAAUCGUAAAAAUUAUUUUCUAGAAACUUCAAUAUGCUAGAUCAAGUUUAACGGAGCCGAUCGUCGAUUCGAAAACUCCAUCAUCGAAAACGGCUCAGGAGCACGGAGGCACGGAGGCCUCCAUGCUCCUGAGUGCACAGCAGUCCUGCUCUCUCUCUCUCUGCGGUUCUCUUCUCUCUUCUCUGUAGUAUAAUAUAUAUAUAUAUAUAUAUAUAUAUAUAUUUGUGAACUAAGAUUCUUAGUGGAGUAUUGCUUCAAAUCACGAGAACAAUAUUCUUGCAUGUUAUUAAUUAAUAUUAAUAUAUCGCUAGAUUUCUAUGAUAUUUUAGAAUGCAUAUGUAAGUUUUUUUUUUUUUUUUAGAGAUAACUAGUACGCUAUCCGUCUCGUUUAUUUCAUUUAGAAAUAAACUUAGCUAGAAAUGUGAAUCAACUAGGAUUCAAACUUGGGUCUCGGGUAUCAACCACCAAACCCUUUGUCACUUUUUCUAGGGACGGUCGGUGAAUGCAUAUAUAAGUUAGUUAAAAUUUUUCAUAUUAUAAAUAGAGGUUCAAAGCAUUUCAUAAUGUUUUGUACUUUUUUUUACACAAAAGGACGAUUGAUAUGUUAUUUUGUGUCGGCUUGAUUUUUAACAAAUUUUAUUAGGUGAAACUGGUCCGCUGUGGUUUGAAUUUAAUAUUUCGUACUAUAAUAUCAUAUAAAAUAAUAAUUAAUUAUUCUUAAUAGCUUUAGUUACUAGAAAAAAGAUAUAAUUUUAUCUCACGGUAUGUUAAAUUUGUUGUUACAUGAAAAAUUACAAGCAAAACAAAUCCACACACUAUUCCUGAAAAUGUCUCUUUUUUUUUUACUACCAAAAGCUAGAAAUAUAAAGAUAGAUUAUUCAAAACCGCAAUCUCUAAUCUAAAAUAAAUAUUAUAAUUUUUUUAUGAACAGCAUAUACAUCAGUAAUAUCCUAAUAAUACAAAAAACAACUAUUGCUCAUCAGAGAAGAAAAUAAUAAAAUAAUAAUUAUUAAAUAACAUGAGAUUCGUCGUGUGGACUGUUUCGGUAUUGCAGAUCAUCGUAUCGAACAAUUCGAUAUUUAAUCUUAAAUCUCACUGAUUGAGUUUCAGGAUACUGGUUCACGGUGGACAGGGUCUAGCCAACAAUUCCUCCAAAAGUUCUCAGGCAUGUGGAUUUUGCACGCAAGAAGAGUUGACGGACAUCAAUCUGAGUUCGACAUGGUUUGCAGAUAGACAUGCAAGGAAUUUUCAAACACAUCAUCAACUAUUAAUGCACGCUGUAGCAUUUAUUAAAGCAUUAAAUGUCAUAACGUAACAUGUAACUAGCAUUGUCCGAGUACUUCAUCUUAAGUUUUCUUCGAUAUUUACAAGGCGCUCAAGCAAGAUUGAUCGUAUAAUAUUGUGUGGCACCAUCUUGAUCAAUAAUGUUGGUGCAACCAACACCUGCAUCGUUCAACUAAUUGUAACGCCCAAACUAAGAGGGGGAGAUAGGAAAAACUGCUAUAAAGGAAGAGCCUUGGAUUAAUAUCUAAAGUCUUAAUAGAUACAUGUUUGCUAGAGAGAGAUGCUAAGGUUAAUUCUGGACUGUUUUCUAGUGGAUUAAUCUUUUUGGUUAAUAUUUUUUUGGGUAAAAUGAUAUAAGAGAUGUUAUGAUUCCGUUUACUAUGCCGUUUUUAUCCAUCAUUUUAUAGCAUAUAGUUAUCAUGUACAUUAAUAUGAGCUUUAAGACUAAUUUAGAUUAAUUCUGAAUCUUUUCCAAGUAAGUUGAUGAUGGGUGUAAGACAAUAAGGUUUUCGAGUAGUUGGUGUAUGUUGAAGAUGGUUUUGACUAGUACGGAUAUAUGUAGGGUCAGAUGAUCUUAAUCAUAUUCCAAGCUUGAAAAUAAUAUAUGAUGGUAAUUUAUCCACGGCACGUAUGAAGCUAAAAAUAAAAAAGAGAAAAAACAAAGGAUGAGACAAAAAGGAGAGUUAAUUAUAAUUAUGCUAAUAUUGCAACUUUAAUUAUGUACAAGUCUUUAGUAACUUUAUGAAACAAAAAGAAAAGAAUAAAAUCAUGGCCUACUUUUAUCAUCAUCAAGAUACAAUAAAGGGGAAAAAAAAAAGAAGAAGUAAAGUUUGUGCGACCCAAGGAGUACAACUACACCAAAAAAUUAAGCAAGUUAAUUCACUCUUUUGUUUAAUCAUACCUUAAUUGUAAUUAAUUAACUGAGAUAUAUGCGAGUUUUAUUUCCUCCUUAUUGCUAAAAAGUCGUCAUGACAAGAUGGUGCAGAAACUUACACGUACGGAUAGUAAAAAACUAAAUUUUAUUUGACUAUACCAAAUAAGUGUUUUUCAUGUAUAACUCAUGGGAGAAGUAAUUAUAGUUUUUUUUAGCGAAGUUCCUACUGGUAAAAAAAAAAAAAAAAAAAACUCUGAAGCUACUUUGCGGAGAGAGUACUUCCUCUAUAAAAGUUUUAUUCAGCAUUUGACUGCAACAAAAAUUGCUGUUGUCUUUUAAAAGUCGUACAACAAAAAUUAUAAAUUUUUAAUUCUCUAAGACUCAAUUAGAAGUAAAUAAAGAAUCUAUUUGAUCCUAUUUUCGAUCUCUACAUGAAUUGGGGUAAAAAUAUAUAGAGAUCGCAAUACGGCUUCGUCCUACACCGAUUUACUGCUGUGGUAAAAAGCACCAAUUGGCACUUUGGCCCAGGGCUAUACGGCUCAUGGCUUUGAAGCAGGACCUAACACUAGAAUUUAUAUAACCCCGUGCCAAGAAAAAUUUAAGACACGUUUUAUAUUUUGUUCCUUGCGACUAUUUUUCUUUGAUCUCUCUCUCCUCAUAAGAGAUUAAUUAAUAUGACCGAGGCAUAAUCCAAAAUAAAUUAGAAUCUGCAGCGUCCUUAUUUAAAAAUUAUUUUUGCUAUACUAGUUUUUUCCCUCUUUACUUUUAUUUAUUAAAAAUUUUAAAAAGUGGUAAAUCUUAAAUACUAUUGAAUAAGGAGUAGCAGGAAUUAUGAUUAUUAUUAUUUUUUAAUUAUAGACUUAGUAUUUCUCGUGUGGCUAUGAUGCAUCAUUAGACUGAUGGCCCACCUCCACAAGGGGAUCUUUUGAAGUGGAGACAUGAUCACAUUUGGCCUCCUCUUUUAGACAGAAGCUCCCAAGGAGCCAUCCUUCUCUUUCUCUCUCUCCUCUCCUUUCCUCUUCUCUUCUCUCUCUCUCUCUCUCUCUCUCUCUCUCUCUCUCUCUCCUCCAAAAAGCCACACACACACACCUUUCUCCUCCUCUUAAUUUCCUCCUCCUCAUCCCACAACCUCAACCAAAGAGAAAUCACUUUAGCCUUUUCCUUCUCAUCACACACCAAUCCAUCUUUUGAUUCAGCAAAGACGAAGAUUCAGAAGCAACCUCAGAAGAACUUCAGAAAGAGAGAAAAAAAAAAAGCACAAAAGAAAGAGAAAGUGAGCUCCGAAUAAACUCUCUCUCUCUCUCUCUCUCUCUCUCUCUCUCUCUCCUACCUUUCAUUUCCUCUUUAUAUACUACGUACACAUGGGCACAUGGCCCUUUCACCAUCUUGAUCAUAUCAUCUACUAUUAUGGGUUCUACACAACACCCUCUUGAUCUAGUAAAAACACCACCAAGGUCGAUUCGAUCUCCUUUUUCCUAUUUCCUUUUUUUUUUUUUUUUUCUUGUUUCAAACUUCAUCUUUUUGUUUGUGAUCGUCCACGUACGUAAACGGACUCUGAAUCAUCCUAUGUUUUACAGUCAGAAAGUUUAAAUAUACACAACAAUCAUGGAUUCUACUACAAGUGGUAGCGUGCAAUCGUCGAGUGGCGGCGGCGGAGGCGGCGGCAGCAGAGGCGGCGGUGGCGGCGACGAAGAGUACACCUCGCAACCCGACUUCCUCUCUUCUUUCUUAACCCUCCCACCACCACCACCACCAUCCUCCUCCACAUCACACCUCCUCCACCACCACCACCACCACCACCACCCUUCUCCCUCCUUCGACUCCUUCUCCACCUUCCUCGACCCCCUCCCACACUCUCUCCCUCAAAACCCUAGCCCACCAUCCACCAAUCCCUUCCCCCAUUCCCCCUCACUGUUGCCCAACCCGAGUUGCACCACCACCGCGGCCUCCUCGGGCCAACACCCCGACCAACCGGACCGGCCGGCCGCCCCCGGCCCGGCCCGAGCUUCCAAGAAGCGGCCGAGAGCGUCGCGUCGGCCGCCCACCACCGUGCUCACCACCGACACGUCCAACUUCCGCGCCAUGGUGCAAGAAUUCACCGGCUUCCCCGCGCCGCCUUUCUCCUCCUCCUUCGCCCGCCCGCGUCUCGACCUCUUCCAGUCGCCGUAUCUUCUCCGGCCCUUUGCCCAAAAAAAUCACGCUUCCACAUUUGCUCCCAUUAAUAGCAGCAGCAGCGGCAGCACUGCUUCCACUAUGGUCGACGCUAUUGCUUCUAUUGCGAGGAACAGUUUGGUUAAUUUGAACACACUUUUAGCUUCAACCAGUGCAACUUCCGCGAGCGUGCCUAUCGAUCUCCAACACCCAAAUCUCCCGUCGUUCGCUUUACAGUCUCAACCGACCAUUCCCAAAGAGUUCGCGGUCGGAGAUCUCGGAAGCUUCGUCGGAUCGGAGAGUCUCAUCAAACCGGCCCAUCGGACGUCGAACAGUUUGUCAAUCUGGGCUGAUGGUUUAGGAUUAGACGGUGGCGAUCGUGAUCCAUUGAUCGGAUCAGAAUCGGCAGCUGCAAAGAGAUCAAACGACGUCGACAAAGGGCGACGGUAACGCCGCAGCGCAGAUUUUUCUUCGCAGUAUCAAGAGAUAAGUAUGUUGAUAGUAACAGGUGGUGAAAUGAAAGAAAGGGAAAGGGUUUAGUGGGUGGAGGAGAAUUUGAUCUUUGCUUCUACAACACAACCACCACGAAUAGUCCGUAUAAAAAUACAUGGCUUUAAUUUGCUCCUCUUUUUGUGUAUGCUAAGUAUAUCGUUUCUUUUACUGGAUGAGAAGUUCAUCUUAAAAUGCAUCUUCUUAGUAAAAGGACACGCUUUUCCAUUCAAAAAAAAGGACAGCUUUUGACAAUUUUGUUUGAUUAUUACACGUCUUUAUCAAACUAUACUAAUCCAUUUUCUCUUUUUAUUUCCUGUGAGAGGCCUAACUAAUGUAUGUUACAUUGUAAUAAUCACAGUGUACUUUACGUAUCUAUAUUUCAAUUUGAGACCUCUCUUCAUCUUUCAUUUUCCAUUACAGUUCUUAUGUAUAAUUAAUUCAAGUUAACUAGUCGCGUUUAUUCUAAUUAAUUGAUGCUUUUUUGUUUUUGUUUUCUUUUGCAUUACUUGGAUAUUUUUUUAAUUUUUUUUUAGACCGAUUGCUAUUAGGGGAUUGGAUCAAUUGAUGAACAGUCACCUAUAUAUGAACUAUUUUUGAAGCUAAGCGUCUAGGAUGAGCCCAAGUCCUUUGAAUUAAUGUUUCGCUAGCUCUAGAUAACUGAUCUAUACUAGGUUAUUUUACCAUGAUGUACCUUAUUUUACUACAAUUUUUUUUUAAGAAAAAGUGUAAUCAAUUAGUUAUUUUUAUCCAAAAUAGUACAAUCAGUUUACGCUUUAGUCAUAAGAAAUGCACCUGUAAUUAGCAGAAUAUUUAGCUAUAUAUGUUCUAAUGUGUAGUAUUCAUUUUUUGUUGCAGUACAAAGUCUUUCUAGCAGGAAAAGUAUUAAUGUAUUGAAUUCUUUGCUGUAGUUUCUUAUCUCUGUAGUGGAAUCAUGAGCUCAAAAUCUCAUUCUUGUUUACAGCUACAGUAGGAUCAACAAAACCUUUCGUUCACCGAAUGCUCUAACAGAGAUGACCGUGAUAGUAGUUGGAAGCAUAAAUUAAGCCAAACGAAUAUUUGAAGUUUUGUGUAGAGAUAUUUUUGCUUCUGCUUUAAGCAACAGUAGUGUUCAAUAAAAUAUUUGUUAAAGAAAAGAAAAAUGUGAAGCUUCCACUAUCGCAAAAUGUAUCAGAUUUCAAAGUUUCAAAUGGAAGUUCUAAUGUUGUGCUUCUAUUAAUUUUACUGUCAAAAGAAAUUCUUUUGUUUCUAUACCGUCAAGGGGUUUCAAACCUAACCCAACUUAAUUUACAUGGCUCUUCUCUAACAAAUAUCCUUGAAGCCUUUUAUGAAUCAUUCAACUUUGCCUAACUCGCACCUAACUUAUCCAAAAUCCCUUGGCCUAGUUCUUCUAAGUACACUUAAGAUGUCACAUUACCAUAACUCUUCUUGUACGAGCCCGUCUUGUUCAUAAAAGUCAUCAAAUUGGUUGAAGCAUACUGGUUAGAUAAAUUAAUUAAAAAGGAAAAAUUUUCCACUCAAGGCUAAAUUAAGCCUAUAAACUUCAAUCUAAUAGUAUAUAUCAGCUUUACUCUUAUCAAUCAUUUUGUAUGAAACUAUUUAUACAUGAAUUUGUAACAAAUAUUUUGUUAAGUAGGUAAAACAUGCGCUUGUUGGAUUGUUGGCGCUAAUCAUUAAUUCUAAAAACUCGAGCCGUUAGAAAUAUAGAACCAACUCACUUGAAGCUUACAGACACAACGACCACAGAUCUCGAUUAUGAUCCAACUCAACCAGCCUCAUGCUACUUCGAACAUAAUUUGACUCAAAUCUCACACAAUUUCGAACGUGACUCGACACAAAUUGGCCUUUCGCUACAAGACAGGAUGCUGGAACGGCAAUUAAUGGAUCCUUUACAACUAACAUAAAAGGACAGAGACUAGCUUAGGAGAGUAAUUCAUUAAUGACAUUGUGAAUCUUGUGUGAGCUUGGGCUUGUAUUGGAUCCAUUACUAGUUUGAAGAUUUUGCAUGUUAAUGCAAAAACUACUUUAAUGAUCUGCUAUUUAUGCUGAAGUUCAUGAGUCUAAAGGGUUUUUAUUUUUCUAAAUAGAGAAGGUAGAAAAUAAAAAAUAAUUCACCGCGAUCAUGUUAAGUAGCUAGAAGAGAAAUAGAACCCCAGUGAUUUCGACACCAAACACUUCAAUAGAACUUUGAAACCAAAGUAGAUAGAAAAGGUCCACCCAACAUAUGAAAAAGCAAGAUGCCUUUCCACAAAGAGUUAAACAAACUAAGGACAAGUGGCCAAACAAAAAUAAUCUCGAAAACUAUUAAUUUUAGAGCAACACUAUCUGUACAUCGAAAAAAUAUUUAAAUUUUACAGUCUAUCAUUCCAUAACCUUCUUUUUUUUGUCCCUUCUUUUAUAAUUUUAAAAAUUUUUUAAAAACUUUUUC